rnacentral:misc_RNA from 1 species
AAUUCUCAAAAUCCUAUUCUUUAAUCGGAAUGGGACUUUUGGACUUGGAGGUUCAAUGCUUGCCUUUGCCUUUUGAAAGCAAGCUCCUCUCAAAUAAAUUAGUGGGGUCCGCUUUGCUGGUCCUUGACGUGAUAAGAUGUUUCUACGUUUUGGAUUUGGCACUGUUUUCUGGACGUCUGCUCCUAACCGUCCGUCUCACGGACGACGAUGGUGCUCCGGUCACCGCCCAUCUUUGUGGGCAGGGAGGCUGGGCCCACGGAAAAAC